rnacentral:rRNA from 1 species
CCUAAACCCCAGCCCCAACUCAAUUUUAAUUACGCAAAUUUAACUAAAAUAUUUUCUCUAUUUAGUAAAGACGAUUAAAAAAUUAAUUGCAGCAAAACUUGUACCGUAAGGGAAAAAUGAAAUAAGCAUGAAAAAUUUUAAGCAUAAAAUAGUAGAGUUUAAACCUCGUACCUUUUGCAUCAUGGUUUAACUAGUCUAAUCAAGCAAAAAGAAUUUAAGUUUGUCUUCCCGAAAUCAAGUGAGCUACUUUAGGACAGCUUAACGAGCAAACCCGUCUCUGUCGCAAAAGAGUGGAGAGAUCUUAAAGUAGCAAUUAUAUAUUUAACGAACUUGACGAUAGCUGGUUAUUCAGGAAAAGAAUCUUAGUUCAACCUAAAGCUACUUCAAUCUUUGUAAAUACACACUUUAGAGUUAAUCAAGUAAGUCACAGCCUACUUGAAACAGGAUACAACCUCCACCCGCGGGUAAUAAUAUCUCUUCAUUAACUAAGUAGGCCUAAAAGCAGCCACCUUUAAAAAAGCGUCAAAGCUUAUCUUUAUAAUUCUUAUAAUCCCUAAAACCUGUUAAAACCCCUAAUCAGUACUGAAUGAUUCUAUAUUUUUAUAGAACUCCUUAUGUUAAAACUAGUAACAAGAAGUCCUCUUCUCUUUCUAUGUAAGUGUAAAUCAGACUAGAAAAACUACUGAUCCCUAACAACCUUAAACCCAAAUAAUAAACUUUCAAGAAAAACUUACUAACAUAUUUGUUAACCUUACACAAGAGCAUAAAAAGAAAGAUUAAAAGAAAAAGAAGGAACUCGGCAAACCCCUGAUUCCGCCUGUUUACCAAAAACAUCGCCUCCUGCUAAUCUAUAGGAGGUCCAGCCUGCCCAGUGACCUAGUUUAACGGCCGCGGUAUCCUAACCGUGCGAAGGUAGCGUAAUCACCUGUUUUUUAAUUGAAGACCUGUAUGAAAGGCAUCACGAGAAUCUAACUGUCUCCUUUUUCCAAUCAGUGAAACUAAUCUCCCUGUGAAAAAGCAGGGAUAUCUCUACAAGACGAGAAGACCCUUUGGAGCUUAAGACAAAAUAAUAUUUCGCACACUUAUUUAAUUCCUACUUCAACUAGCGUAAAUUUACAAGUCUUUGGUUGGGGCAACCGCGGAGUAAAAAAGAACCUCCAAGAUGAACGGAACUUUCCUAAAUAAAAAGCCACAACUUUAUCUAUCAACAUAUUGACAUUAUGACCCAAAAUUUUUUGAUUAUCGAACCAAGUUACCCUAGGGAUAACAGCGCAAUCCACUUUAAGAGUCCAUAUCGACAAGUGGGCUUACGACCUCGAUGUUGGAUCAAGGUAUCCCAGUGGUGCAGCCGCUACUAAAGGUUCGUUUGUUCAACGAUUAAAACCUCACGUGAUCUGAGUUCAGACCGGAGAAAUCCAGGUCAGUUUCUAUCUGUAAAGAGCUCUUUCCAGUACGAAAGGACAGAAAUAGCAUGGCCAAUUAAAUUUUUACGCCAUAAAAUAACUUAUGAUAUCCUCUUAAUUAGUUAUCUCCCACUUCCCUUAAAUCAAAG